UCAGUGCUUUGCAAUAAAAAUUCCCACUUUCUUCCACUACACCCGGUGUCAGAGAUUGGCUUGCUGCAUGACGGGUGAGUGAACUCACUUCAGGUUUGAUAUCAAGUGGAUGAACGUAAUU